rnacentral:rRNA from 1 species
AAGGGCGCACGGUGGAUGCCUUGGCACUAGAAGCCGACGAAGGACGUUACUAACGACGAUAUGCUUUGGGUAGCUGUAAGUAAGCGUUGAUCCAGAGAUUUCCGAAUGGGGGAACCCAGCACGAGUUAUGUCGUGUUAUCGACAAGUGAAUUCAUAGCUUGUCAGAAGGCAGACCCGGAGAACUGAAACAUCUUAGUACCCGGAGGAAGAGAAAGAAAAAUCGAUUCCCUGAGUAGCGGCGAGCGAAACGGGAAGAGCCCAAACCAAUAAGCUUGCUUAUUGGGGUUGUAGGACACUCUAUACGGAGUUACAAAGGAAUAUAUUAGACGAAUCAUCUGGAAAGUUGAAUCAAAGAAGGUAAUAAUCCUGUAGUUGAAAAUAUAUUCUCUCUUGAGUGGAUCCUGAGUACGACGGAGCACGUGAAAUUCCGUCGGAAUCUGGGAGGACCAUCUCCUAAGGCUAAAUACUCUCUAGUGACCGAUAGUGAACCAGUACCGUGAGGGAAAGGUGAAAAGUACCCCGGAAGGGGAGUGAAAGAGAACUUGAAACCGUGUGCUUACAAGUAGUCAGAGCCCGUUAAUGGGUGAUGGCGUGCCUUUUGUAGAAUGAACCGGCGAGUUACGAUCUGAUGCAAGGUUAAGCAGGAGAUGUGGAGCCGUAGCGAAAGCGAGUCUGAAUAGGGCGUUGAGUAUUUGGUCGUAGACCCGAAACCAGGUGAUCUACCCAUGGUCAGGUUGAAGUUCAGGUAACACUGAAUGGAGGACCGAACCGACUUACGUUGAAAAGUGAGCGGAUGAACUGUGGGUAGCGGAGAAAUUCCAAUCGAACUUGGAGAUAGCUGGUUCUCUCCGAAAUAGCUUUAGGGCUAGCCUCAAGUGAUGAUUAUUGGAGGUAGAGCACUGUUUGGACGAGGGGCCCCUCUCGGGUUACCGAAUUCAGACAAACUCCGAAUGCCAAUUAAUUUAACUUGGGAGUCAGAACAUGGGUGAUAAGGUCCGUGUUCGAAAGGGAAACAGCCCAGACCACCAGCUAAGGUCCCAAAAUAUAUGUUAAGUGGAAAAGGAUGUGGCGUUGCCCAGACAACUAGGAUGUUGGCUUAGAAGCAGCCAUCAUUUAAAGAGUGCGUAAUAGCUCACUAGUCGAGUGACACUGCGCCGAAAAUGUACCGGGGCUAAACAUAUUACCGAAGCUGUGGAUUGUCCGUAGGACAAUGGUAGGAGAGCGUUCUAAGGGCGUUGAAGCAUGAUCGCAAGGACAUGUGGAGCGCUUAGAAGUGAGAAUGCCGGUGUGAGUAGCGAAAGACGGGUGAGAAUCCCGUCCACCGAUUGACUAAGGUUUCCAGAGGAAGGCUCGUCCGCUCUGGGUUAGUCGGGUCCUAAGCUGAGGCCGACAGGCGUAGGCGAUGGAUAACAGGUUGAUAUUCCUGUACCACCUAGCAUCGUUUUAAUCGAUGGGGGGACGCAGUAGGAUAGGCGAAGCGUACGAUUGGAUUGUACGUCCAAGCAGUGAGAUUGAGUGUUAGGCAAAUCCGGCACUCUUAAGAUUGAGCUGUGAUGGGGAGAGGAAAUUGUUUCCUCGAGUCGUUGAUUUCACACUGCCGAGAAAAGCCUCUAGAUAGAUAAUAGGUGCCCGUACCGCAAACCGACACAGGUAGUCAAGAUGAGAAUUCUAAGGUGAGCGAGCGAACUCUCGUUAAGGAACUCGGCAAAAUGACCCCGUAACUUCGGGAGAAGGGGUGCUCUUUAGGGUGCAAGCCCAGAAGAGCCGCAGUGAAUAGGCCCAAGCGACUGUUUAUCAAAAACACAGGUCUCUGCUAAACCGUAAGGUGAUGUAUAGGGGCUGACGCCUGCCCGGUGCUGGAAGGUUAAGAGGAGUAGUUAGCUUCUGCGAAGCUACGAAUCGAAGCCCCAGUAAACGGCGGCCGUAACUAUAACGGUCCUAAGGUAGCGAAAUUCCUUGUCGGGUAAGUUCCGACCCGCACGAAAGGCGUAACGAUUUGGGCACUGUCUCAACGAGAGACUCGGUGAAAUCAUAGUACCUGUGAAGAUGCAGGUUACCCGCGACAGGACGGAAAGACCCCGUGGAGCUUUACUGUAGCCUGAUAUUGAAAUUCGGCACAGCUUGUACAGGAUAGGUAGGAGCCUUUGAAACGUGAGCGCUAGCUUACGUGGAGGCGCUGGUGGGAUACUACCCUAGCUGUGUUGGCUUUCUAACCCGCACCACUUAUCGUGGUGGGAGACAGUGUCAGGCGGGCAGUUUGACUGGGGCGGUCGCCUCCUAAAAGGUAACGGAGGCGCUCAAAGGUUCCCUCAGAAUGGUUGGAAAUCAUUCAUAGAGUGUAAAGGCAUAAGGGAGCUUGACUGCGAGACCUACAAGUCGAGCAGGGUCGAAAGACGGACUUAGUGAUCCGGUGGUUCCGCAUGGAAGGGCCAUCGCUCAACGGAUAAAAGCUACCCCGGGGAUAACAGGCUUAUCUCCCCCAAGAGUUCACAUCGACGGGGAGGUUUGGCACCUCGAUGUCGGCUCAUCGCAUCCUGGGGCUGUAGUCGGUCCCAAGGGUUGGGCUGUUCGCCCAUUAAAGCGGUACGCGAGCUGGGUUCAGAACGUCGUGAGACAGUUCGGUCCCUAUCCGUCGUGGGCGUAGGAAAUUUGAGAGGAGCUGUCCUUAGUACGAGAGGACCGGGAUGGACAUACCUCUGGUGUACCAGUUGUCGUGCCAACGGCAUAGCUGGGUAGCUAUGUAUGGACGGGAUAAGUGCUGAAAGCAUCUAAGCAUGAAGCCCCCCUCAAGAUGAGAUUUCCCAACUUCGGUUAUAAGAUCCCUCAAAGAUGAUGAGGUUAAUAGGUUCGAGGUGGAAGCGUGGUGACACGUGGAGCUGACGAAUACUAAUCGAUCGAAGACUUAAUCAAUUU